rnacentral:rRNA from 1 species
AUCCUGGCUCAGGAUGAACGCUGGCGGCGUGCUUAACNCAUGCAAGUCGAACGAAGCACUUUAGUGAAUUCCUUCGGGAUGAAGCUAUUGUGACUGAGUGGCGGACGGGUGAGUAACGCGUGGGUAACCUGCCUUAUACAGGGGGAUAACAGUUAGAAAUGACUGCUAAUACCGCAUAAGCGCACAGUAUCGCAUGAUACAGUGUGAAAAGCCGAGACGGUAUAAGAUGGACCCGCGUCUGAUUAGCUAGUUGGUGAGGUAAACGGCCCACCAAGGCGACGAUCAGUAGCCGACCUGAGAGGUUGACCGGCCACAUUGGGACUGAGAUACGGCCCAGACUCCUACGGGAGGCAGCAGUGGGGAAUAUUGGGCAAUGGGCGAAAGCCUGACCCAGCGACGCCGCGUGAGGGAAGAAGAUCUUCGGAUUGUAAACCUUAGUCAACAGGGAAGAAGAAAGUGACGGUACCUGUGGAGGAAGCCACGGCUAACUACGUG